rnacentral:rRNA from 1 species
CCUACGGGUGGCUGCAGUGGGGAAUAUUGCACAAUGGGGGAAACCCUGAUGCAGCGACGCCGCGUGAGUGAAGAAGUAUUUCGGUAUGUAAAGCUCUAUCAGCAGGGAAGAAAUAGCGACCUUUGGGUCGCCAGACGGUACCUGACUAAGAAGCCCCGGCUAACUACGUGCCAGCAGCCGCGGUAAUACGUAGGGGGCAAGCGUUAUACGGAUUUACUGGGUGUAAAGGGAGCGUAGACGGCAGCACAAGUCUGAAGUGAAAUGCCGGGGCUUAACCCCGGAACUGCUUUGGAAACUGUGCAGCUAGAGUGCAGGAGAGGUAAGUGGAAUUCCUAGUGUAGCAGUGAAAUGCGUAGAUAUUGGGAGGAACACCAGUGGCGAAGGCGGCUUCCUGGACUGUAACUGACGUUGAGGCUCGAAGGCGUGGGGAGCGAACAGGAUUAGAUACCCUUGUAGUC